rnacentral:rRNA from 1 species
GUCGAGAAUUUUUCACAAUGGGCGAAAGCCUGAUGGAGCGACGCCGCGUGGGGGAUGAAUGGCUUCGGUCCGUAAACCCCUGUCAUUCGGGAGCAAUGCCUGCGAAUUAACACUUUGCAGGUUGAUAGUACUGGAAGAGGAAGGGACGGCUAACUCUGUGCCAGCAGCCGCGGUAAUACAGAGGUCCCAAGCGUUGUUCGGAUUCACUGGGCGUAAAGGGUGCGUAGGUGGCUUGGUAAGUCUGAUGUGAAAUCUCGGAGCCUAACUCCGAAACUGCAUCGGAUACUAUUGAGCUUGAGGUCUGGAGAGGAGACUGGAAUUCUCGGUGUAGCAGUGAAAUGCGUAGAUAUCGAGAGGAACGCCAAUGGCGAAGGCUGGUCUCUGGACAGAUCCUGACACUGAGGCACGAAAGCUAGGGGAUCAAACAGGAUUAGAUACCCGAGUAGUCC